GUGAUCAGGAGAGAAUACAGACAACUCACCAUGGAAUUUGUGCUGGGCUGGGUUUUCCUUCUUGCUCUUUUAAAAGGUGUCCAGUGUGAGGUGCAGCUGGUGGAGUCUGGGGGAGACUUGAUGAAGCCUGGGAAGUCCCUGAGACUCUCUUGUGCAGCCUCUGGAUUCACCUUCAGUAGCUACAACAUGUACUGGGUCCGUCAGGCUCCAGGGAAGGGGCUGCAGUGGGUUGCAUGGAUUAAAUAUGAUGGAAGUAGCAAAAGCUAUGCAGACUAUGUGAAGGGUAAAUUCACCAUCUCCAGAGACAACAGCAAGAACACGCUGUAUCUGCAGAUGAACAGCCUGAGAGCAGAGGACACAGCCGUGUAUUACUGUGUGAAAGACACAGUGAGGGGCCCUCAGUGUGAGCCAGGACAGAAACCUCCCUGUUGA